GUGGCUGUAGUUCAAAAGUAGAACGUCCGCCUGUGGAGCGGAAGGAAGCGGGAGCAUUACCCGUCAGCCACC
rnacentral:tRNA from 1 species